GUGGGCCUACGGGAGGCAGCAGUGAGGAAUAUUGGUCAAUGGCCGAGAGGCUGAACCAGCCAAGUCGCGUGAGGGAUGACGGCCCUACGGGUUGUAAACCUCUUUUGUCGGGGAGCAAGACCCGCCUCGUGCAGGCGGAGCGAGAGUACCCGAAGAAAAAGCAUCGGCUAACUCCGUGCCAGCAGCCGCGGUAAUACGGAGGAUGCGAGCGUUAUCCGGAUUUAUUGGGUUUAAAGGGUGCGCAGGCGGGAGAUCAAGUCAGCGGUAAAAUGUCGGGGCUCAACCCCGGCCGGCCGUUGAAACUG
rnacentral:rRNA from 1 species